GGGGGCUGCUCCGCGGGGACGGGCCGCGCAAAGAGGCGCUGCUUCUGGAUUCGCUUCUGAGCUUCCUUCCGCCAGAUCGGAGCGGCGGCUCUCUGGGCGGGGGCCGCUUCUCUAACGCGCGUUGUGAAGAAUCCUGGUUUCGCACGACCCGCGCGAGCAGCUGAGCAAUGGCUCCACGCGUAUCCGGGGCGGUAGAUUGGGGGCCUUCGGGGUGGCUGUUGAGGUUUACCCUGUUGGGUCUGAACCCAGAAGCUUCAUUCGCGCGACGCCCUCAAUCCUGUAAAUUUUAAAAUGGAUUGGGGUUUUUUGUUUGUUUGUUUAGCUUUUUGCCGGGGAGGAGGGCUUGGCACCUGUGUGUUUCCAGCCCUGUUGGCGGCGUGGUUCAGCGUAUAGUGCACCAAAAACAUGUGCGUUAUAGUAAAUUUCGCUCAGUGGUUGCUUAAGUGUUGUUGCAUCACUGCAACACAAGUCCCGUAAAUCUAUGGCAGAGGGUGGAUUGGGGAUGUUCAGCCUCUUUGAAAUGCUGAUGUCCGUCAGGGGUGAAGAAACUCUUGGGAAGUUGCUAAAGGCCACCUAGCAGCUUAGGAAUCCCCUUGGAUGGUGAUACAGACCCGCAAACUGCAUUCCUUAUAGGCUUCUUGAUGCAGAAAUUAAAUAUUGAGCAAUGGGAAAUUAGAGGAAGGGGAUGGUGUCUUUUAUAUGUUCUCUUUUUUUCCGUUCCUUUUCAUGGUCUCCAUCAUUGCUGACUUGGCUGGCCUAAAGGACCCUUUUUUGGAAAGCCCAGUAUGGAUUCUCCUGUGGUUAUGGGUGCACGCUCCCUGUCUUCCUCCACUGAGCCUGAUCAUCUGGUCCCAGUGAAGAAGUUUUAUCAGGGUGAACCUGUGGCCCUGGGGAUCUCACAGAUAUGCAUAGGAAUCACUGGAAUAGCUUUUGCGAGUCUGGUCAGCGCAAUUGAUGAAUCGGUCUUCCUUAUAAAGAUACCCUAUUGGGGUGGAAUCUUGUACAUAAUUUCUGGAUCCUUAGCUGUGGCAGCUGCUCGGAAUCCAAAGAUCCCUCUGGUGAAAGGCAUGCUGGCAAUGAAUGCGAUAAGUGCCAUUACAGCUGGUGUUGGCAUCGUAGUCCUGUCUUUCACAGUCAGCCCCAUCCAUUCAUUUAGUUUCGCCUGGAACUGCAACUAUAAUGGUUAUGACACUAAGGAAAAAUGUGAUGAAAUCGAGACAAGACAAAACCCUGCAUACCUCAUCCAGGUCAUCUUCCUUACUCUACAAUUGGAGAUAUAUGUGCCUAUCUGUAUGCAUAAAAAUGGCUAUGUUACUUUUCUAUUUCAUUGGUAGAAUAUUGGUAAAGGAAUAUUGGUUGUUCUUACUGUGUUCACCAUCCUGGAGUUUUGCAUCGCCAUCUCAGUAGCGUCUUUUGGCUGUAAGAUGCUUUGCCGAGAUCCCUUCGCUGAAACGGUUGUGGUCAUUUAUCAGAAUGUGACACCUGCUAAUGCCGAACAACACCCACCCUUUGACUGCAAACAGCCAGUAAUUCACCCUUGAAUUGUUUUUCUUUCAUAGCAAGUGUUCCAGAGUGCUUUCAUCUCCUGCAGAUGGGAGCUUUCAACAUUUUAAAGGAAUUACACAGAACUAUUUAAUCAGUGGAACAUAAACGAGUUAAUGGACUAAGCAAAGGACCAUCUGUAAAAGAUCUUGAGGAUGUGAAUGUUCUUUGUUACUGGCUAAAGUAUCACUUGUGAACUGGCUGGCAUUUUGUACCAAAUUAUGGUUGCUGUUGGAAAAUAUGUGGUUGGCUGGGUUUAUACAACAUGUUUAUACAACAAGAGCUGUGGUGGCAGCACAGGGGUUAGAAUGCAGCAUUGCAGGCUAAUUCUGCCGACUGCCAGCAGUUCAAUUCUCAUUGGCUCAAAGUUGACACAGCCUUUCAUCCUUCUGAGAUGGGUAAAAUGAGGACCCAGAUUGUUGGGGGCAAUAGGCUGACUCUGUAAACCACUUAGAGAGGGCUGUCAAGCACUGUGAAGCGGUAUAUAAGUCUAAGUGCUAUUGCUAUGUUGCAUAUAAACUAUAAUUUCUAGAUUACAAUGGCUUUGUCCCAGAGCAGGCUAAAUCAAACGCCAUCACAACAGGGCUCAGCAAAAAGUGUGUGUGCUCACAAAGGAAGCUUAGCGGGUCAGUUACAAACUCGGGUGCAUCCACACAGCAACUAUGCCUGGUUAAUUUUAACUUGGGCUAGUUUGUCUUUAGUGUCUUUAGUUCAUGGUUCAAUGCAUUUUACUUAGGUUAGGUACAUUUUUGAACUGAGUAGGAUCCAGAACCAAGCAGGCUUUUUGAAAAGCAUGCAGAAAUCAUUUGCUAUCAUCGUCACCUUCUUUAAAAGAAAAAAAAAAGUAUUUCCUAGUGUGGCCUGUAGUUGUGAAAAGAAAUUAAGCCCGUUGUGUGAAAUCAUCCAAUGGAACACAUUUCAGAAGUUGAUUUGUGGAAUAUAACAAUCUCCAUGGGAACUGUUCAAACAGAAAACCGGGCAACCAAAUGUAGGUACUCCUCGACUUACGACUACAAUUGAGCUCAAAAUUUCUGUUGCUAAGUGAGACAUUUGUUAGGGGAACGUUGCCCCAUUUUACGACUUUUCUUGCCAGAGUUGUUCAGUGCACCACUGCAGUU